UGUGGGAGCGGGCUUGCUCGCGAUGCAGACAACUCGAUUGAUCAGCAGACCGGGUUGAUCCCAUCGCGGGCAAGCCCGCUCCCACA
rnacentral:misc_RNA from 1 species